CCCUUAGAUGUUCUGGGCCGCACGCGCGCUACACUGAUACACGCAACGAGUUUAUAACCUUGAUCUGACGGUCUGGGUAAUCUUCAAACUGUAUCGUGUUAGGGAUCGAUUCUUGCAAUUUUUAAUCGUAAACGAGGAAUUCCUAGUAAACGCAAGUCAUCAGCUUGCAUUGAUUACGUCCCUGCCCUUUGUACACACCGCCCGUCGACUCUACCGAUUGAAUGGUUCGGUGAAAACUUUGGACUGUGGCAUUGUCCUUCAUUGGACUUCGCCGUAGGAAAUUGUUUAAACCUCAUCAUUUAGAGGAAGAAUAAGUCGUAACA
rnacentral:rRNA from 1 species